rnacentral:tRNA from 1 species
AGCGGGGUAGAGCAGUUGGCAGCUUGCGUGUUUAACUUGCACGAGGUCGUUGGUUCGAGUCCAACCCCCGCAA